CCUACGGGAGGCAGCAGUGAGGAAUAUUGGUCAAUGGACGAGAGUCUGAACCAGCCAAGUAGCGUGAAGGAUGACUGCCCUAUGGGUUGUAAACUUCUUUUAUAUGGGAAUAAAAUGUUCCACGUGUGGGAUUUUGUAUGUACCAUAUGAAUAAGGAUCGGCUAACUCCGUGCCAGCAGCCGCGGUAAUACGGAGGAUCCGAGCGUUAUCCGGAUUUAUUGGGUGUAAAGGGAGAGUAGGUGGAUUGUUAAGUGAGUUGUGAAAGUUUGCGGCUCAACCGUAAAAUUGCAGUUGAAACUGGCAGUCUUGAGUACAGUAGAGGUGGGCGGAAUUCGUGGUGUAGCGGUGAAAUGCUUAGAUAUCACGAAGAACUCCGAUUGCGAAGGCAGUUCACUGGACUGCAACUGACACUGAGGCUCGAAAGUGUGGGUAUCAAACAGGAUUAGAUACCCCAGUAGUC
rnacentral:rRNA from 1 species